rnacentral:rRNA from 1 species
UUGGAGGGCAAGUCUGGUGCCAGCAGCCGCGGUAAUUCCAGCUCCAAUAGCGUAUAUUAAAGUUGUUGCAGUUAAAAAGCUCGUAGUUGAACUUCGGGAUCAAUGGAUUGGUCAUGCCCUUGGUAUGUACUGGUCAUAUUGGUUCUCACCUUCUAAGGAACCAUAAUGUCAUUCAUUUGAUGUUGUGGGGAAUUAGGACUGUUACCUUGAAAAAAUUAGAGUGUUUAAAGCAGGCUAACGCUUGAAUACAUUAGCAUGGAAUAAUGAAAUAGGACAUCGCAUUCUAUUUUGUUGGUUUCUAGGAUCGAUGUAAUGAUUAAUAGGGAUAGUUGGGGGCAUUAGUAUUCAAUUGUCAGAGGUGAAAUUCUUGGAUUUAUUGAAGACUAACUACUGCGAAAGCAUUUGCCAAGGAUGUUUUCAUUAAUCAAGAACGAAAGUUAGGGGAUCGAAGACGAUCAGAUACCGUCGUAGUCUUAACCAUAAACUAUGCCGACUAGGGAUCGGAUGAUGUUGAUUUUUUAAUGACUCAUUCGGCGCCUUACGGGAAAC